UCCUGUUCCUCCUCAUAGGAGGCUCGGACAGACACAAGGGUACCGCUACCUCUGGGCAGUUCAGAUAAAUCGUUUAACAGCACAUUAACAGGCCUUUAUUUACACACUCUUUCCAUUUUGCAAUUGAAAAAAAAAACCCUGCUCAUUCGUCUUUUAAAUUAAAGACGACUCAGAGCCUCCGGUUGGUCACCUGUACACCGUGGACCGUGCAAAUGAACAGCCUGUUGCUUGCUUUGGAAGGAUCCAAUCGUGGGAAUGUGUGGGCUAUGUAUUUUCACUUUCUCAGACGUCUGCCCUUAACUCUUCCAGGGGUUGGUGUACUCUUGGACAUCUGGGGUCAUUUUGGGGCCUACCAAGGAAGCCACAAUCCCCCCCCCC